rnacentral:rRNA from 1 species
AAGAGAUCGGGAUAACACCUGGAAACAGAUGCUAAUACCGGAUAACAACAGAUGAUGCCUAUCAACUGUUUAAAAGAUGGUUCUGCUAUCACUCUUGGAUAGACCUGCGGUGCAUUAGCUAGUUGGUAGGGUAACGGCCUACCAAGGCGAUGAUGCAUAGCCGAGUUGAGAGACUGAUCGGCCACAUUGGGACUGAGACACGGCCCAAACUCCUACGGGAGGCAGCAGAG